rnacentral:rRNA from 1 species
CACAGGUGCUGCAUGGCUGUCGUCAGCUCGUGUCGUGAGAUGUUGGGUUAAGUCCCGUAACGAGCGCAACCCUUGUCCUUAGUUACCAGCACGUUAUGGUGGGCACUCUAAGGAGACUGCCGGUGACAAACCGGAGGAAGGUGGGGAUGACGUCAAGUCGUCAUGGCCCUUACGGCCUGGGCUACACACGUGCUACAAUGGUCGGUACAAAGGGUUGCCAAGCCGCGAGGUGGAGCUAAUCCCAUAAAACCGAUCGUAGUCCGGAUCGCAGUCUGCAACUCGACUGCGUGAAGUCGGAAUCGCUAGUAAUCGUGAAUCAGAAUGUCACGGUGAAUACGUUCCCGGGCCUU